GCACUGCUGAGGAGUUCCACAAUAGGACGAAACGGCCGUCCAGUAC
rfam:Schistosoma haematobium scaffold60_51, whole genome shotgun sequence.